rfam:Parcubacteria (Giovannonibacteria) bacterium GW2011_GWA1_44_25 TW53_C0008, whole genome shotgun sequence.
GGGUCCAUAGUUCAAUGGCAGAAUUGCGGUCUCCAAAACCGCUGAUCUAGGUUCGAAUCCUAGUGGACCCG